GUGCCAGCCGCCGCGGUAAUACGGAGGGUGCGAGCGUUGCCCGGAAUCACUGGGCGUAAAGGGCGCGUAGGUGGCACAGCAAGCGUGCGGUGAAAGCCCGGGGCUCAACUCCGGGUCGGCCGUGCGAACUGCGGUGCUGGAGCAUGGUAGAGGCAGGUGGAAUUCCGGGUGUAGCGGUGGAAUGCGUAGAGAUCCGGAAGAACACCGGUGGCGAAGGCGGCCUGCUGGGCCAUGGCUGACACUGAGGCGCGACAGCGUGGGGAGCAAACAGGAUUAGAUACCCUGGUAGUCC
rnacentral:rRNA from 1 species